UACGUAGGCAGCAAGCGUUGUUCGGAGUUACUGGGCGUAAAGGGUGUGUAGGCGGUUUGGUAAGUCUGGUGUGAAAUCUCCCGGCUCAACUGGGAGGGUGCGCCGGAAACUGCCGGACUCGAGUGCGGGAGAGGAGAGUGGAAUUCCUGGUGUAGCGGUGAAAUGCGUAGAUAUCAGGAGGAACACCGGUGGUGUAGACGGCUCUCUGGACCGUAACUGACGCUGAAACACGAAAGCGUGGGUAGCAAACAGG
rnacentral:rRNA from 1 species